rnacentral:misc_RNA from 1 species
GGAUGGAUCAUUAACACACCAAAAAAUAUAGGGGCCUAAAAACCUCUAUAAACCCCCGUGAACUAGUAACCGUCUAUAUGGGCUGCCUAAAAACAGCCUAUAUCCCUUUUUUAAACCCCAACAAUAUUAUUUCUAUAAUUAAAAAACUUAAAAAUAGACAACUUUCAACAACGGAUCUCUAGGCUCUCGCAACGAUGAAGAGCGCAGCGAAAUGCGAUACGUAAUGUGAAUUGCAGGACUCAGUGAAUCAUCAAAUUCUUGAACGCAACUGGCGGUUUGCACCCCAACAAGUGCAGACCAUGUCUGUUUGAGUGUUAGAUUACCCCUCUCAACUAAUUUAGUUGGAAUUGGUACUUGAACCUAAACAGUUCAUUUACUGAAAUAUAGCAAGUAAGUCACAAUGACUUCUAAUAACGUAAAUACUAACGUAUAUCCUUUAUUAGAAUGCGUUUUGAUCUACAGGCAUACAAAAUUAUCAAUUAUGACCUCAAAUCAGGCAAGAUUACCCGCUGAACUUAAGCAUAUUACUAAGCGGAGGAAAAGAAACUAACAAGGAUUCCCCUAGUAGCGGCGAGCGAAGAGGGACUUUAGCUCAAAUUUAAAAUCUGGUAGGGCAACCUAUCCGAAUUGUAGUUUAUGGAGGUACUCUCAAGGGUGACACUUGGUCAAAAUUCUUUGGAACAAGAUUGCCGAGGAGGGUGAUAGCCCCGUCUACGGCCAAGUUCAGUCGCCUGCAGAAGGUGCUUUCUUAGAGUCGAGUUGUUUGGGAAUGCAGCUCAAAAUGGGUGGUAAAUUUCAUCUAAAGCUAAAUAUUGGCGAGAGACCGAUAGCAAACAAGUACCGUGAGGGAAAGAUGAAAAGAACUUUGAAAGAGAGUUAAAAGUACGUGAAAUUGUUGAAAGGGAACGGGUUGCAAAGAGUGUUACGGGGGCGGUUAUCAAUGAUCGUCUAGGGCAUUUGGGUUCGAGACACCGAAAGGGUCUCGGUCCUAACUUUGUUCUAACACGGUUGUGCUCUAAUCGUCUUCGUGUUCAACAUCGGUUCACAUGGUAACAGAAGGUUAGAUAUUCAGGUAGACUGCUCCGGCAGUUGUUAUAGAAGUCUAAUACCCGUUAUCAAGUGGACUGAGGCAAAGAUUUAUUCUGUUGGCGAUGUACGUUUUUACGAGGCCUGGCUUUACGACUGGGCGUAUAUUCUAAAGAGUGCCAAGCAGUCUUGGGGUAUACGUUUAGUCCAUAGGGUUACGGCCUCAGUACGUCCCAGAUGUUGAUGAAAUCUUUGCAACCCACCCGUCUUGAAACACGGACCAAGGAGUCUAACACCAGUGCAAGUAUAAGAGUUUGUAAACUCAGUAUGCUAAAUGAAAGUGAAGGGUCACAUUGGUGAUCUGAGGAGGGACACUUCAAACCCUGGUUUGAGGUCGCACCUUCGGCCGAUCUGGAUAUUUUUUGAAAGAUUCGAGCUCGAGCAUUGUUGUUAGGACCCGAAAGAUGGUGAACUAUGCCUGAAUAGGAUGAAGCCGAGGGAAACCUCGGUGGAGGUCCGUAGCGAUACUGACGUGCAAAUCGUUCGUCAAAUUUGGGUAUAGGGGCGAAAGACUAAUCGAACCAUCUAGUAGCUGGUUCCCGU